rnacentral:rRNA from 1 species
AUUGAACGCUGGCGGUAGGCCUAACACAUGCAAGUCGAACGAGUGGCGGACGGGUGAGUAAUGUCUGGGAAACUGCCUGAUGGAGGGGGAUAACUACUGGAAACGGUAGCUAAUACCGCAUACCAUCGGAUGUGCCCAGAUGGGCUUAGCUUGUUGGUGGGGUAACGGCGCACCAAGGCGACGAUCCCUAGCUGGUCUGCGAGGAUGACCAGCAACACGGGAACUGAGACACGGUCCAUACUCCUACGGGAGGCAGCAGUGGGGAAUAUUGCACAAUGGGCGCAAGCCUGAUGCAGCCAUGCCGCGUGUGUGAAGAAGGCCUUCGGGUUGUAAAGCACUUUCAGCGGGGAGGCGUUACCCGCAGAAGAAGCACCGGCUAACUCCGUGCCAGCAGCCGCGGUAAUAC